UAUAAUUGUAUGCUGCUUUUUUUGUAGUGAAAUGUCUAUAUUUGCUUUGUGUCAGGAGAGAGCAGGCAGCCCAGAGCUACCUGUGCUCUGCUGCUGCCCCAGGCAGAUGCUCCUAGGGCUUCAGGGGCCAAUCCUACAUGCCUGGGGAACUCCCAAGAGCGCUUGCCCAAUGACUGCAGAGGCACACCACAGGAAUCCCUCAGCAGAGGAUUCCCCAGCUUCCACGUCAAAGACUCUUUAGUAGUAAAGCUGUUCAAAUAAAGGGAUGGCUCAGUCUUUAAAUGAAUGGUUAUGGCAGCAGGAGUAUUGGCUUCCCCCAGGAAUCAGCUGGGAAGACAUGAAGGAGACUGAAGAUAUCUGUUACCCUCAGCCUCAACACCUCCUGCUCAGCAUCCCCUGUGCCCUGUUCUUGGUUAUCGUCCGGUACUACUUUGAAAGAUUCAUAGCCCUGCCCCUGAGCAAAAAGCUGGGUUUAAGGGACAAGAUGAGAGUGAAAGCUCUGCCCAGUCCUGUACUGGAUACAUUCUACACUACCCAUAGCAAGAACCCAAAAGAGGUGAGUCCUUUUUUCCCUUUCA